rnacentral:rRNA from 1 species
CCUACGGGUGGCAGCAGUGAGGAAUAUUGGUCAAUGGACGCAAGUCUGAACCAGCCAUGCCGCGUGCAGGAAGACGACUCUAUGAGUUGUAAACUGCUUUUGUACGAGGGUAAACGCAGAUACGUGUAUCUGUCUGAAAGUAUCGUACGAAUAAGGAUCGGCUAACUCCGUGCCAGCAGCCGCGGUAAUACGGAGGAUUCAAGCGUUAUCCGGAUUUAUUGGGUUUAAAGGGUGCGUAGGCGGUCGGAUAAGUUAGAGGUGAAAGCCCGAGGCUCAACUUCGGAAUUGCCUUUGAGACUGUUCGGCUAGAGAGUAGUUGCGGUAGGCGGAACUUAUGGUGUAGCGGUGAAAUGCGUAGAGAUCAGACAGAACACCGGUUGCGAAGGCAGCUUACCAAGCUACAACUGACGUUGAGGCACGAAAGCGUGGGGAGCAAACAGGAUUAGAUACCCGUGUAGUC